AAAGAAUUAGUUAAAUUAAAAUAAUAGUAUGUCAUACUAAAGUAAUUAGUAUUAUAAACUAAUAUUCUUUU
rnacentral:tRNA from 1 species